rnacentral:ncRNA from 1 species
CACUUAGAACCCUCCUUCCGGGAGUGUUAAUAGUCAUGCUUUUGGCCGAGCAUGGCGGUUAGAGAAUC